AUGGGAUCUAACUUCGAUUUAAUCAAAACAUGGCUCAACGAGCAUGAAAGCUAUGAAUUCAACAAAAAUCCCAAGCCGUAUCUGACAAUCUUGCAGCAAGAGUCAGGAGAACAUUCAAUGUCUCAAUCAUCUGAGAACAGUUCAAACAAGAAAAUCUCGGUCAAGAAAAGGUCGGUAAAGCCUUCAAGAAGGCUCCUUGGAGAAAUCAAGAUUCCUACAUUUGUCCCAGGAGAUUUAAAAUUCAUGAACAAAGCCAGAGCACUCCAUGAAUACCUAUUCAGCAAAGAAGGACAGGACGAAUGCGGAGAUCUAAACGUAUAUAUUAGCUCAAAGCGAUAUAAUUGGAUUAUAGGAAAACAAAUAAUGGUACAGCUAAUGAAAGGAGAUGAUGGACAGAUGGAGGGCUCCAUCACAAACGCAUUGUUCGACGAAUGGACAUCACAGCAACAAUACAACACAACCGAUAAAGCCAUACUUCCCGUAGAAUUUGCAAACGUCGUGCUCGGUGUUAAAACUGGAGAGGAAAGUGGACUAGCAGAAUUCAAUGAGGAAGAAGCAUUGAAAGAGUUUGCACCCCUUGUAACAGGCAAGGAACUUUUAAAGAAAAAGCUGAUUAUGAUACCUCACAACACAGAUAAACACUACACACUGUACGUGCUCAACAAGUACACGAACUCCAUCGACAUACUUGACUCACUGAAUUACAGAAACGGGGAUGGAAAAAAACAUGGAAAACACACCAUAAGGACCACCAAGAACUGGGUACCCAAUGCAGAAACUUCAUGGCUCAAUUUGCAAAAUACUGGAAUGACAUUGAACUCAUAA
rnacentral:rRNA from 1 species